rnacentral:sRNA from 1 species
UUUUAGCCCUGAUCGAAGCGAUAUACUUUACUUUUUUUCUUUAAAAAAGUAAAGAUUUAGCGAAGAGCAGGAACCAUA